rnacentral:rRNA from 1 species
CGCCUGUUUAUCAAAAACAUGUCCUUUUGUUAAUUGUUUAAGGUCUGGCCUGCUCCAUGAGUAUUAAAUAGCCGCAGUAUUUUGACUGUGCAAAGGUAGCAUAAUCAUUAGUUUUUUAAUUGAAAGCUGGAAUGAAUGGUCGGAUGAGGAAUUGACUGUCUCAUAUUGAUUUUAAUAGAAUUUUAUUUUUGAGUUAAAAAGCUUAGAUUUAAUAAAAAGACGAGAAGACCCUAUAGAGUUUAAUAAGUAAAAGUAUACUUAAAUUUAGGUUUUUAUUUUUUAGUGCUUUAUCUUAUUUGGUUGGGGUGACUUAGAAUUGGAUGAAACUUCUUUAUAUUUAAACACUGAUUAGUGAAUGAUUGAUCCUUUCUUUGAGAUUAAAAGAUUAAAUUACCUUAGGGAUAACAGCGUAAUUUUUUCAGAGAGUUCUAAUCGAUGAAAGGGAUUGCGACCUCGAUGUUGGAUUAAAGUUAAUUUUUGGUGCAGAAGCUAAUAUAUUAAGUCUGUUCGACUUUUAAAACUUUACGUGAUCUGAGUUUAGACCGG